GUGUCGGGUUAGCUCAGUGGUUACUUCCAAAUAAAGAUCGGUACUCUUGCCCACCUCGUCUCGGCGGGGUUCGAACCACGGGCGCUGUCCGAUGCUUUU
ensembl:vault_RNA Vault Vault RNA